UCGUUGUAGCAAUACGAUGGAAAAUUUAGUGGCGAACGGGUGCUUAACACGUGGGCAACCUGCCAGGAAGUGGGGGAUAGCUCGCCGAAAGGCGAAUUAAUACCGCAUGUGAUUAGAGAGGACAUCCUUUCGAAAUUAAAGUCGGGGCAACCUGACGCUUUUUGUGGGGCCCGCGGCCUAUCAGCUAGUUGGUGAGGUAAUGGCUCACCAAGGCUUUGACGGGUAGCUGGUCUGAGAGGACGACCAGCCACACUGGGACUGAGACACGGCCCAGACACCUACGGGUGGCAGCAGUCGAGAAUUUUUGACAAUGGGGGAAACCCUGAUCGAGCGACGCCGCGUGGAGGAUGAAGGUCUUCGGAUUGUAAACUCCUGUCAUUGGGGAACAAUGCGCAAAUAUUAACUGUAUUUGUGUUGAUAGUACCCGAAGAGGAAGAGACGGCUAACUCUGUGCCAGCAGCCGCGGUAAUACAGAGGUCUCAAGCGUUGUUCGGAUUCAUUGGGCGUAAAGGGUGCGUAGGCGGCGCGGUAAGUCGGGUGUGAAAUCUCGGAGCUUACUCCGAAACUGCAUUCGAUACUGCCGUGCUUGAGGACUGGAGAGGAGACUGGAAUUCUUCGUGUAUCAA
rnacentral:rRNA from 1 species